CCUACGGGUGGCUGCAGUGGGGAAUAUUGGACAAUGGGGGCAACCCUGAUCCAGCCAUGCCGCGUGUGUGAAGAAGGCCCGCGGGUUGUAAAGCACUUUCAGUGAGGAAGAACGCCUGGUGGUUAAUACCCAUCAGGAAAGACAUCACUCACAGAAGAAGCACCGGCUAACUCCGUGCCAGCAGCCGCGGUAAUACGGAGGGUGCGAGCGUUAAUCGGAAUUACUGGGCGUAAAGCGCGCGUAGGUGGCUUGAUAAGCCGGUUGUGAAAGCCCCGGGCUCAACCUGGGAACGGCAUCCGGAACUGUCAAGCUAGAGUGCAGGAGAGGAAGGUAGAAUUCCCGGUGUAGCGGUGAAAUGCGUAGAGAUCGGGAGGAAUACCAGUGGCGAAGGCGGCCUUCUGGACUGACACUGACACUGAGGUGCGAAAGCGUGGGUAGCAAACAGGAUUAGAUACCCUUGUAGUC
rnacentral:rRNA from 1 species